rnacentral:sRNA from 1 species
ACUCAUCAUCUAAAGAAAUACUCUGGUUACAUGUGUGAAGGCUUUAAGCAGCUAUGAUAAGUGAUCAAAAGUAGUCUCCCCUAAAUUCCCUGUCGCAGGGGAAGCUCCGAUUACAUACAAGGGAGAUAAGCCGUUAAGUGAUCUGCGAUUUUGAUCCGACUAUACGUGAUCUUGUUCUAGAACUAAGAGAUUGGAAGAAAGUGCUGGCCUACAUACCCCAUAUCAUUGGAUCCACCCUUCGUUUUAACACCAAUACUUCAAAACACGAGAAUGGUGGAGAACUGACCAGGAACUACCUUUCUUCAGAAGUGGAGUGAUAAGCAGUGAAGAGUCCAAGCUCCAGAAUACACAGACAACAGAGAAUGUGAAGGUCCACAAAACAGCAACAGCCAUCAGGGCACGGAUCAGGGGAUCAACCAAUGUAAUGACCGUGACAUUGAUACUGCGGUAGCUCCAUCGAAAGAAACCAACAAUGUAGAUUUUCACUUGAUGGGAAUGGGAGCCUGAUGCCUGCUGAACAAGUGCUGGGAAAAGGACCACACAUGGAAACAGAUGACUUACGACUAUUUUCAGCUGCGGGGGCAGAUUGCGAUUUUUUUGUUUCUUUAGUGUCCAUACUCUGGGCGAAGUUGGCAUCUAUUUCCAAGCGGCUCCUACCUUGUCUCUGGAGGUUCUUGUCGAUCUGAAGCCGCAGGAGCAUCAGGACUUUCUCGACCACUUUAGGCUUGCAGUUCGCUAGAGCUCGAAUGACCUCAUCAGAAAGGUCAAGGUCAAGCUUCCGUAACACUCGCCUGUAGGAGAAAACAUCAUAUUACGUGCAUGGACAUUGAAAUUUAUAACAUUAUCUUUUAAUGAAAUUAUGUUAAUUUUUACAUUUUGAAGAAGAAAAAAAUCAAAAAUCAGCAUUAACUAUUGUGAGCAAACAGUAAUGGUAACCAUUUCAUUUUUUAGAGACUAUAUUUGAAGGAGCUUUGUCAUUAGGGGGUAAGGCAAACAGUUGGCUAGUGUUAGAACUACCGGGUAGGUGGUGGAUUCUUGAUUUUACUUUAGCAAUAAAAAAGAUACCUGAGAGCUUGUUUACCUGCGGAUUAAACUCACCUGUUCAGUAGGUACCAGUUCUCCAUCUUCUGCUUCGUGGCAGCAGCAGGGGAAUAGUUAUGGAGCUCUACAAUUUUGGGGAAGUAAUGGGCAACAAUUUCUGCUAGAAGUACUGAAAGGAAAAUAACAUUACAUGUAAACUUUUUGGGUAAACCUUUUCUGAUGUAUUGUAACAUGAUUAGAAUCUGAUGAUCUAUUGUUAGAGCUGUAAAAACUUUCAAUGUACAAUGUAAACU